CGACGAAUCUUCCGCAAUGGGCGCAAGCCUGACGGAGCGACGCCGCGUGUGGGAUGAAGCGUCUUCGACGUGUAAACCACUGUCAGGGGGCAGAACCAAUGAUCGCCCCCAAAGGAAGAGACGGCUAACCCUGUGCCAGCAGCCGCGGUAAGACAGGGGUCUCGAGCGUUAAUCGGAAUUACUGGGCUUAAAGGGUGCGUAGGCCGGCCCGCAAGUGCUUUGUGAAAUCCCCCGGCUCAACCGGGGAACAGCUUGGCAUACUGCGGGUCUUGAGGAAGGCAGGGGUCGCCAGAACUGUAGGUGGAGCGGUGAAAUGCGUAGAUAUCUACAGGAAUGCCGAUGGUGAAGACGGGCGACUGGGCCUUUCCUGACGCUGAGGCACGAAAGCGUGGGGAGCAAACAGGAUUAGAUACCCUGGUAGUCCACGCCGUAAACGAUGCGCGCUAGAUCGGGGCGGCUCUGACGCCGUCUCGGUCGAAGUAAAAACGCUAAGCGCGCCGCCUGGGAAGUACGGUCGCAAGGCUAA
rnacentral:rRNA from 1 species